UUGAGUUAUCUGUUUGACCCGUCUUGAUAUUUGAUCACAGAUUAUCUUUCUUCGUCGUUUGAUUGCCGUGAAGAAGGAAUCAUGUGUUAACUACAAACCUUAAUUGUCGAACUCUCCACCGCAAACCCUUUAUUCAGUGAUACACAAAGGAGUUACAAUUGGUUGGAUUUGCAUUCGUGUCGCGCAACUUUGGGAUCAGUGGAUUCAAGAAGAGCAAUUACUGUGGAUCGGUAGUUCAAGAACAAGCAGGAUUACACUCGUGGAUCUUGCUGGAUUUGAGAAGAACAUAAUCAAC